rnacentral:lncRNA from 1 species
CGGGAACCAGGUCAAGACGAUCUGAAGCAAAUACCGCUGUACUUCAAGAGGACAACGUCAUUAUGGAGGGGUAUACUCAUACUAAUACCCCGAUUGUCACCCAGUCAAGUCAGCCAGGUGUCAAAAACACCGUCAUUCAAACUACAAACAGCAUCAAUAUGGAGGGGAUUACUCAGAAUAACACUUCACCUGUUAUGGCAACCAGAUCAAGUUCAACAUGUAGCACAAAAUCCAUUCCUGGUACCGACAAUAUCAUCAACGCUCCAACUGCCAUGUCAACAAGGUCAGGUCGAUCAGGUGUAAAAAGCUCUAUUCCUGGUACCGACAAUAUCAUCAAUGUUUCAACUGCUAUGGCAACAAGGUCAGGCCAAUCAGGUGUAAAAUGCUCUAUUCCUGCUACAGGUGGUAUAACCAAUGAUGGCUUAUGUAAUAAUGAUGCCUCAACUUCAACUUAUAGAAAAGAAGAGUCAAUUAUGCCAGUUGAAACUGUUGCUGAAUUUUCAGACGAAGAUAUGGAGUCAAUGGAAACACACGAAGCAGUCAAUGUCAUUAUUGAUGUCGAUCAGACUGGGGAGCGUGUGGGAACUGGUGAGGCAGAUGACACGUACCAUGAAAUGGACGACCCAUCUUUGUCAGAUCAAGACAAGAACAUGGAGUCCAAGAAAACUAGUGAAGCAGUAAAGGCCAUUGUUGAUAUUGGUGAUGCUGAUAGUGAGGAC